rnacentral:rRNA from 1 species
AAGCUCGUAGUUGAAUUUCGGGAUUAGUACGUCGGUCGUGCCUUAGGUACGUACUGGUGUUACUGGUUCCUACCUUCUGACGAACCAUCAUGUCAUUAAUUUGGUGUGGUGGGGAAUCAGGACAGUUACUUUGAAAAAAUUAGAGUGUUUAAAGCAGGCUCGCGCUUGAAUACAUUAGCAUGGAAUAAUGAAAUAGGGCGUUGAUCCUAUUUUGUUGGUUUCUAGGAUUGACGUAAUGAUUAAUAGGGAUAGUUGGG